UACGAAGGGUGCAAACGUUGCUCGGAAUUAUUGGGCGUAAAGCGCACGUAGGCGGCUUAGCAAGUCGGAUGUGAAAUCCCUCGGCUCAACCAAGGAAGUGCAUCCGAAACUGCUGAGCUUGAGUACGAAAGAGGAUCGCGGAAUUCCCGGUGUAGAGGUGAAAUUCGUAGAUAUCGGGAGGAACACCGGUGGCGAAGGCGGAUCUCUGGGCCUGUCCUGACGCUCAGGCGCGAAAGUUAGGGGAGCGAACAGG
rnacentral:rRNA from 1 species